UUCAAUUUUUGAAGUUUCUCUAGCUUUUUUGUUGGGUGAAAUCAGUAUAAGAAGCUCUUUCUUCUUUAAAAAUUAGUAGGAACUAAAAAACUUUGAUUUAAAACCAGGAUUAGAUACCCUGUUAUUCUCAGUUAUUCUUAAACAGGGUAGUAAAAGUUGUUCUUCAAACCCAAAGAUUUUGGCGGCACUUUAUCCAAAUAGAGGAGCUUGUCCCUUAAUCGAUAGUCCUCGUUUUAUCUUUCCUUCAUUUGUAAAGCUUGUAUACCGCCGUUGUCAGAUUACUUUUAGAGAAUGUUUUCAAGUUAAAAGACUUUAUAACUUCAGGUCAAGGUGCAGUUUAUAUGGGGGUGGAGGUGAGCUACAGUUUUCUUUAGAAAAUACGGAUUCUAAGCUCUGAAGCUAGCUGAAGGUGGAUUUACUAGUAAAGUAA
rnacentral:rRNA from 1 species